AGCAGCCGCGGUAAUUCCAGCUCCAAUAGCGUAUAUUAAAGUUGUUGCAGUUAAAAAGCUCGUAGUUGAAUUUCGGGGUUAGUAGGCUGGUCGUGCCACUGGUACGUACUGGUCUCACUGACUCCUCCUUCCUGAUGAACUGUAAUGCCAUUAAUUUGGUGUUGCAGGGAAACUGGACUGUUACUUUGAAAAAUUAGAGUGUUUAAAGCAAGCUAACGCUUGAAUACAUUAGCAUGGAAUAAUGAAAUAGGACGUUUGAUUCUAUUUUGUUGGUUUCUAGGAUCGACGUAAUGAUUAAUAGGGAUAGUUGGGGGCAUUAGUAUUCAAUUGUCAGAGGUGAAAUUCUUGGA
rnacentral:rRNA from 1 species